GAUGAACGCUGGCGGCGUGCCUAAUACAUGCAAGUCGAGCGAACGGACGAGGAGCUUGCUCCUCUUACGUUAGCGGCGGACGGGUGAGUAACACGUGGAUAACCUACCUAUAAGACUGGGAUAACUUCGGGAAACCGGAGCUAAUACCGGAUAAUAUAUUGAACCGCAUGGUUCAAUAGUGAAAGACGGUUUUGCUGUCACUUAUAGAUGGAUCCGCGCCGCAUUAGCUAGUUGGUAAGGUAACGGCUUACCAAGGCAACGAUGCGUAGCCGACCUGAGAGGGUGAUCGGCCACACUGGAACUGAGACACGGUCCAGACUCCUACGGGAGGCAGCAGUAGGGAAUCUUCCGCAAUGGGCGAAAGCUUGACGGAGCAACGCCGCGUGAGUGAUGAAGGUCUUCGGAUCGUAAAACUCUGUUAUUAGGGAAGAACAAAUGUGUAAGUAACUAUGCACGUCUUGACGGUACCUAAUCAGAAAGCCACGGCUAACUACGUG
rnacentral:rRNA from 1 species